UUUUCUGCUCUGCGACUCCUUUUGCAGAGGGGGAGCGCCUGGAGGUCCGGAUGAAACGUCUGGAAGCCAAGUAUGCCCCGCUCCACCUGGUCCCUCUGAUCGAGCGGCUGGGGACCCCUCAGCAAAUCGCCAUUGCUCGCGAGGGUGACCUCCUGACCAAGGAGCGGCUGUGCUGUGGCCUGUCCAUGUUCGAGGUCAUCCUGACCCGCAUUCGGAGCUACCUGCAGGACCCCAUCUGGCGGGGCCCACCGCCCACCAAUGGCGUCAUGCACGUCGAUGAGUGUGUGGAGUUCCACCGGCUGUGGAGCGCCAUGCAGUUCGUGUACUGCAUCCCUGUGGGAACCAACGAGUUCACAGCUGAGUGAGUACCCCCCAGAGAAGGCAGGGUUACCCCCAACCUGCCUGUGCUCCUGCAAGUCAUGGGGCUGCCAGAGUUCAGCCAGAAACGUGGGCAGGGGGUGGGGGUGGUUGGCCAACAACUACUUUGUUGAGUGUGUUGAGCUGACUGCAUUGGCAAGAAAGAGCCCAGUAAGGGUUUGAUAGUAAGACCCUCACUGCCUGC
rnacentral:sRNA from 1 species